rnacentral:lncRNA from 1 species
GAAAGUCUUUUAUUUUUAUUAGAUGCUUCUUCAUGAAAGAUAUAAUAUGUGUGAGAAGACGAUGGUUGGUUUGUAAGAAUUUAAGAACCUUCUUCUUUAGUUGGUAUUUCCAAAUAACUUAUAUCUUAUGAAUUUUUUUUCUCGUUUUGUUGGCCAUGUUGAGGUUAAUCUAUAUUUAAUGAAAUAAAUCUUCUUUGUAUAUUUAGACCUAAGAAAGGAUGUUGGAUUUGAUGGUUAUUAUUAUAAUUAUAAAAUAGAUUAGAAGGUCUUAAGGUAUUAUCCACAUUUGGAUUUCUUGUCCCUUUUAAUUGGUCUUGGGCUUGUUGUUGAUAAUUUUCUUAUAGAAAACUUUAAAAGAAUCAUCUUGUGACAUUGCCUAUAUACAUUUGUAAGCUGAUUUCUCCUACAAUUUCUACAUACUAUCCUAUUUUCUAUCC